AAUGAACGCUGGCGGCGUGGUUAAGACAUGCAAGUCGAACGGUUUUCAUUGAAGGGCAACCGGAUAUGAAAGCAGUGGCGAACGGGUGCGUAACACGUGAACAAUCUACCUUCAAGUGGGGAAUAGCUCGCCGAAAGGCGAAUUAAUACCGCAUGUGGUCGGGGCUCGCAUGAGCCUUGAACUAAAGUCAGGGACCGCAAGGCCUGACGCUCGGAGAGGAGUUCGCGGCCUANCAGCUAG
rnacentral:rRNA from 1 species